rnacentral:rRNA from 1 species
UCAUUUUAAUUUUUCACUCUAUUUGUUGUGACGCUUUUUUUAUUUUUAUUUUUUACUUUAUUUUUUGUAAAAUAUUAUAAUUUUUGUUUUUUUUGUAAAAGUGUUUAAAAUUUGGUUUUUGAACUGGAUUAGUACCCAGGUAAACAAAAUUUAUUAAUUCGGGAGUAAAGUUUUUUUUAAACCGAAAAAAUAUUGACUGACUUUGGAUUUUUCUUUGGAACAUGUGUUUGGGAGAGCCCUCCUUUAUUGUUAGUUUUAUAGGCUCAUGUAUGAUUGUUUAGUUUUUAUUUUUUUUAUAAUGCUAUUUUUUGUUUUUAUUUAAAACAGAUAUAUAUUUGGUUUAUAUUCUAUUUUUUCAUGUGUUACUAUUAUUAAUUUUUCGGAUAAGAUUUUAUAUUUUUUGAAGUGGAAAGAAGUAAUUUUAUUUUAUGUGAUAGUAUGAU